GAUGAACGCUAGCGACAGGCUUAACACAUGCAAGUCGAGGGGUAACAGGGUAGCAAUACCGCUGACGACCGGCGCACGGGUGAGUAACGCGUAUGCAACCUGCCUAUAACUGGGGAAUAGCUCCCUGAAAGGGGAAUUAACACCGCAUAACACUAUUGAUUCGCAUGGAUUGGUAGUUAAAUGUAGCGAUACAGGUUAUAGAUGGGCAUGCGUGACAUUAGCUAGUUGGUGAGGUAACGGCUCACCAAGGCUACGAUGUCUAGGGGUUCUGAGAGGAAGGUCCCCCACACUGGUACUGAGACACGGACCAGACUCCUACGGGAGGCAGCAGUGAGGAAUAUUGGUCAAUGGGCGCAAGCCUGAACCAGCCAUGUCGCGUGCAGGAAGACUGCCCUAUGGGUUGUAAACUGCUUUUAAGUAGAAGAAACACAUCUACGCGUAGAUGUCUGCCAGUAUACUAUGAAUAAGCAUCGGA
rnacentral:rRNA from 1 species